GAAUAUUGGACAAUGGGCGCAAGCCUGAUCCAGCCAUGCCGCGUGAGUGACGAAGGCCUUAGGGUUGUAAAGCUCUUUUGGCGGGGACGAUAAUGACGGUACCCGCAGAAUAAGCUCCGGCUAACUUCGUGCCAGCAGCCGCGGUAAUUCGAAGGGAGCUAGCGUUGUUCGGAAUCACUGGGCGUAAAGCGCACGUAGGCGGAUUUGUUAGUCAGGGGUGAAAUCCCGGGGCUCAACCUCGGAACUGCCUUUGAUACUGCAAAUCUCGAGUCCGAGAGAGGUGGGUGGAAUUCCUAGUGUAGAGGUGAAAUUCGUAGAUAUUAGGAAGAACACCGGUGGCGAAGGCGGCCCACUGGCUCGGUACUGACGCUGAGGUGCGAAAGCGUGGGGAGCAAACAGG
rnacentral:rRNA from 1 species